AUGCAGAUUGUUGCCACUCCAGCACCAAACCAAAUGUUUGCAGGUACAUCUUCAAGGACUUCUCCAGUUAGCCUCAACCGCCAGAUGUCUGCUGUCGAGCUUGACAUUAGGGAGGAGAUAGAGGAGGCGGCUAUCAACCUCAACGUCACUAUGUCACAGGGAUCAUUUAGCACACAGCCUCAGCCAAAGAGGGUGGUGAGGCCUGGGAAAUAUGCAAGGUCUCCCUUUGUAAUGGGUAAUGACCCUCCUACUAGAGCUCCAGCGAAUGUAGUGCAGAUAUACAAGCUAUUCUAUAGGGAGAACGCGAACAAGCUAAAAGACAUGUGGAUUAUCAGCAUCAACCCAAAAUACAUGGACAUCAGUGGGGAGCGGCUCCGUGAGAUGCUACGCGAUGGUGGUGAGGUGGAUAGUGUGCUGAUGACAUUGGUGAUGAGAAGGUACCAACAGAUGGAUGCGGUCUUUGCUGCUACAAAAGGGGAAGGAUGUUGGUGA
rnacentral:rRNA from 1 species